UGGGCUACAGUCCAUGGGGUCGCAGAGAGUUGGACAUGACUGAAGCGACUUAGCACACACAUUCAUGCACUAUCUCAAUUGCUGCUGGUAAGAUGAGCUUUAAGGUGGAUUUUAUUUAUGCAUUGUUUAAACUUAAUUAUAGGAGCUAGUUCUUCAUUUAACACUCUGAGUUAGAAGUAGCAGGUUUUAAUGCUUUCAUUUUUCAGCAAAUAAAAUCCAGACCCAGGACAGGAAGAUAUCAUAGAUCCAGCUUUCCUAGCCUCCAGUUCUACAUUUUUUUCCCCCAGUGAACACUGUUCUUUUUUUGGUUAGGUCAUGGGAAUCAUCCUUCUAAUUAUCCCUCAUGGGCAAGGUAAGCAAAGGGAACAAUGAACAAUUAUGACAUGUUAUCAAUUUGAAGACUGGUUAAGGGGAAGGAGGAAAUUAAAUAUUCACUGCCACUUUUCUCUGCAGUUAAUCAUUUGCAAGGACAAUUAACGGUUACUUCUUAUCUACGCCAACUGUUCAUUUUUACCUGACCAGACAGCCACCAAUCACACUGCUGGAACUCAGAGGAUUUUCAGCUGAGCACUUGCUUGAAAGGCAAGGAUGUUGUGAUAAAUUCUGUUGUAGAGAGGGUUAAGAAUAUCUGAGAUCAAAGGUAACUCAUUCUGAGAGAAAGAAAUCAAGGCAACACUGUGGAGUCUGUUUCUUGUUCAGAAACCUACAGGCUUCCUUUAGCACCUAAGUUUUCAACAUUUUUGUUGAAGAGUAACACACAGAAGAGAGCACAGCAAACAUACCCAUGUAACCACUGAGAGGUAUCCCCAUGGCGUUAGCCAGUCGACAGUCACUUUCCUAUCCAAAGUUACGUGUUUGAAACCAGAAGUAGAAAAUGGAAAGCUGUCCGUGGAUAAGGAAAAGUAUGUUGCAUCUGAGAAUGUCACCGUCCAGUGUAACUCUGGGUUUAGUUUGGUCGGUCCCCAGAGUAUCACUUGCUCAGAGAAUACCACCUGGCACCCAACCGUGCCCACAUGUCACUGGGUAAAUUGCACCCAUGUAUGUCCCUGUAUGUCCCUUUCAAACCUUAAAAAUUAUGCCUCCCCCAAAGCACUUAUCCCAGCCAGCACAGGUGAGAUCUGACUUUGUCAAGCUGUAUAAACAACUCACUAAUAAGUACCACCACUUGCCACCUUGAAGCACUGUGGUGAGCUGGCAGAGGCAACUUUCCCUGCUAGAUUUGGUGGGUUCCCAUAGUCCCAGGUAUCCUUACCCUUGGCUCUACAUUUUAUAUAAUAAAUGCUGCUUGCUCCAUU